GACUGAAUGCCUGAAUGACCGACUGGAUGAAUGAAGGAGAGUACUCCUCUCGAUGGAGCGACGCACAAUUCAAUUGAAACUGUUGCCGGAUCGGGACUGGGCUCCGAAGUGGGUUUUGGAAGUGGAUGUGGAACUGGAAGAACUGCCGGCUUACCUUACCUUUCAAAUUGAUGAACAGCAACAAAGGCUGCCCGGGGACAAAGGAAAACCGGGCAUAGAAAAGCGACUUUCAAAGUUUCCAACGCGACAAUGAUCUGAGGGCAAGAAACGCCGAACAGUUGGUGACAACAAAACGGGCCAACAAUAAAAAUGAGUCCAGCCAAGAGAAAACCAUAAAAAGAUUUUUCCCGUUUUAUGAGGCUGGCCCCGCAACCUUCUCCGCGUCCCUUGACUUUUUCCACAGUGUGAGUAUGCGCUUUUACGAAUUCAAAAAGCAAUUUACCAAAGGCAUCGUGAAAGGCAAUUCGCUGCUCCGUCUCCAAAACAACACGAAUCUCGGGUCUCGAGCUGUAAGUGCCUCUAAAGGACGACAAGCAGGUCGAAGUGUCAGAACUCAGACGGGGACUCAGGGACCAGACAAAAGCGAGGUCUUCGGCGCACACAUAUAACAGUUUUACGAGCUAACGAAAGUGGUUCUGCUGCGGGCGCAGGAGAGGCCCCGAGAUAAUGCCCCCCGAUCCGAUUCGAUGCCGACAUAUUUGGGGUUUUACGAUCCCGCCGCCUUCGCAGCCAUUGUGCAUUGGAAAAAUUGUAAAUCACACUUGCCUACGGACCCACGGACAGAUAUGCGGACAGGCGGACGGGCCCCGUAUUGCCCCACAUUGGAACAGACCCCGCGAUAAAACAUCGCACAUAAGAUGUAUAUUAGCGUGUCUGUUAAAUUGUUUUUAGUUGCCGACGCGUCUGCAAAUGAGCCAUUGUUAAAAGGGUGAGGAGGGGAAACUGGAGAGAAAGGGGCGAUCUGCGAACUCGGGGCGACUGGGGGUACUUAAGUAUUGAAGCUCUUUAAAUGUUGCUACUUGUACGGGUGUACAUAUGUCUGUGAACUCAUUCUCGUCUGAUGUUGCAUUACGAAAUGGUUUCAUGCUUGUGCA